rnacentral:lncRNA from 1 species
AGACCCUAGAAUAACCCAGAGAGCUUAAAGAAAAACAUGACCCACUACCAAGACUUCCAGUCAUUGACUUUUAUCCAAGGUCAAACGAACCGCACAUUUGCCUUGCUUGACCCUUCCUCUGCUUCAACCAUGAUUAACUCAGUGAAUAACCUUUUGAACCCCUUUCCCACGUCUCUAUCUGCACCAGUCAAUGACCCAAGAACCUUUGACGACAGCGGCUUGUUAUCUACCCCUUUCAACUGAAGCACCACUUUCCCACUAGUUAGCUUUUCAUUCAAAUUGGUUUUGCUAGAACGGAUCAUCAAUAACGUCUGCGAAGGUUUCUUAGCAUUUCCUCCCUUAUGCAUCAAUUCGAUUACAUAAGCCUCAAGGUGAGCCGGCAG